AUUAACUAAUGGAGCUAGAACUGAUAUUGUUGAUGAACAUGAUGAUAGCACUCCAUUGCACUGUGCUAGUGAAACUGGUAACUGUAAAAUUAUCAAAUUAUUAGUAACUAAAGGAUAUGCUGAUGUGAAUGCUGUGGAUGAGGACAACAGAACUCCAUUGUUCAAUGCUGUUAAGAAAGGUAGCAUUGAAGCUGUUGAUAUUCUAUUAACUAAUGGAGCCAGAAUUGAUGUUGUC